AUUGAACGCUGGCGGCAGGCCUAACACAUGCAAGUCGAGCGGCAGCGGAAAGUAGCUUGCUACUUUGCCGGCGAGCGGCGGACGGGUGAGUAAUGUCUGGGAAACUGCCUGAUGGAGGGGGAUAACUACUGGAACCGGUAGCUAAUACCGCAUAACGUCGCAAGACCAAAGAGGGGGACCUUCGGGCCUCUUGCCAUCAGAUGUGCCCAGAUGGGAUUAGCUAGUAGGUGGGGUAACGGCUCACCUAGGCGACGAUCCCUAGCUGGUCUGAGAGGAUGACCGGCCACACUGGAACUGAGACACGGUCCAGACUCCUACGGGAGGCAGCAGUGGGGAAUAUUGCACAAUGGGCGCAAGCCUGAUGCAGCCAUGCCGCGUGUAUGAAGAAGGCCUUCGGGUUGUAAAGUACUUUCAGCGGGGAGGAAGGUGUUGUGGUUAAUAACCACAGCAAUUGACGUUACCCGCAGAAGAAGCACCGGCUAACUCCGUGCCAGCCGCCGCGGUAA
rnacentral:rRNA from 1 species